rnacentral:lncRNA from 1 species
UGUUCCACCUGGUGCACCUGGAGUGCCCGGCGCAGGUGGAGGAGGCUCGCGACGACCCCGCCGUCAAGAAGCUGCGCCCCGCCGACAACAAGCUCAACCCGCCGCCCGCCGCUGGCACCGCGGCCGCCGCUGCCGCCUCCGCUGCCGGCUGUACGACAUCAUCUCAACAAACGACUGCGAACAACGAGAGUCGAUCAGUGUCGCCGCCGAGCUCCGAGGCGAGUGCUGCAACCACCGGUGGUGGCUCUGGUAACGCGACUAGCGGUGGCGGCGGCGAGCCGUCGACGUCCCGCAGCCGCUCGCUGCCGCCCGCCGAGACGGCCACGGAGGCCGACGAGCGGCUCGAGGAAUGAUGCACGCACGCGCGGCCUCACACACGCGGCCUGUGUCCCCCCCACAUGCAUGUCUCUAAUGUGAACGCGCCGAAGGGGAAGGUAACCAAGUAUGUUAUCACAUACGCCUCGCGUCGAAGUAAUUGUGACUAAUAAUAGAAUUGCACAUCGCCGUGACCCCCUAAUGACUUCAGACUGACUGAUUACAUCCUGAUGAUGCAAAUGUGUCAUCAGAAAUUACCAGAGAAAUAUAAAAUAGCGGUAAGUCGUGUAAAAUCUCUUGAAAUUGUCAUAAAUAUUUCUCAUUCAUUGUGUACUCUACAGUGGAGCGUUUUUUCGUUUUUCCAAGUUCUUUAUGUAAUAAUUUUUUUUUUUUUAAUGUUUCAGUGUUAUGACGAUUAUUGUAAUGGAUAGGAGAUUUAAUAUAAAAUAUUAGUAAACAAACAUUAUGCUGCUAAAAGUUAAAAGCAGCUGUUUAAUAUACAACUUGUAU